CUGGGCAGAGGAUCCUCCUCCCAUCAUCACUGGCUCACUGAGCAGAGGAAAGGCUGCAGCAGCUGGACAGUGGUGGUGGGAACCUUAUGUGCUCCAGGAACUGCAGCAGAGAGCAGAUGGAGUGGAAUUUAGGAUGGAGUUGCACACCCAUGGGAACAGCAGGUCAUCUUGAGUGCCAUUACACAGCAGAGGAGAGGCAGACAGGAGUGACAGUGUAGAAAGGGGUCCCGUCUGUGGGAGACAGCUCCUUCCCGUGCGUGGUGCUGCAUGGGCAGAAAGCCCUGCCUGAGGGCUCACACUCUCCAGGAUAACCAGCAGCUCUGCAGGAGGUGAAACACAGCCCACCAAGCUUGUGGAGCCUGGCUGG